UAACUGGGAUCGAUCAAGGCAGGGAAGAACAAGGGUUUCCUUGUUCUUGCAAGAAUUCAGCAAUUGACAAGGAGAAAUCAAGUUUAAAUUGCUGCAUGUCCUAAAACUUCAAACCUCUAAGCAUAUCUAGUAGAUUGGCGUGAAGGAAGAAGGCUCAAGUGCUAAGAAAACGGAAGGUUCACAAGAUCGAGGCGUGAAGGAAGAAGGCUCAAGUGCUAAGAAAACGGAAGGUUCACAAGAUCGAGGUAAAUCCUCGACUUAGGCGAUUGGACGGCUCGGAACGUGCACACUUGGAUUACGCCCGCCUCACGCUUCCGUUAUUAAGUCUUUUAAAAUGGGUUAAGUUUUGGUCAUAUGUAACUAGGUCUAUGUAGUAUGUUGAUAACUUUGAAGUUGGGUAAAAACUUGGUAGUCGAAGUCUUGUCGUGUCCAAUAUAGACUUUGUUUGUUU